rnacentral:rRNA from 1 species
GAUGAACGCUGGCGGCGUGCCUAAUACAUGCAAGUCGAGCGAACGGACGAGAAGCUUGCUUCUCUGAUGCUAGCGGCGGACGGGUGAGUAACACGUGGAUAACCUACCUAUAAGACUGGGAUAACUUCGGGAAACCGGAGCUAAUACCGGAUAAUAUUUUGAACCGCAUGGUUCAAAAGUGAAAGACGGUCUUGCUGUCACUUAUAGAUGGAUCCGCGCUGCAUUAGCUAGUUGGUAAGGUAACGGCUUACCAAGGCAACGAUGCAUAGCCGACCUGAGAGGGUGAUCGGCCACACUGGAACUGAGACACGGUCCAGACUCCUACGGGAGGCAGCAGUAGGGAAUCUUCCGCAAUGGGCGAAAGCCUGACGGAGCAACGCCGCGUGAGUGAUGAAGGUCUUCGGAUCGUAAAACUCUGUUAUUAGGGAAGAACAUAUGUGUAAGUAGCUGUGCACAUCUUGACGGUACCUAAUCAGAAAGCCACGGCUAACUACGUG